AUCGCUUCUCGGCCUUUUGGCUAACAUCAAAGUGUAGUAUCUGUUCUUAUCAGCUUAAUCGGUGGACUAGUUGCUUUUGUCGCUGACAGCUCCAUAGUACCGGUUAAGCAGUCUGAACUUUUUUUCUCUUCACAGCAUUAAUUAUU
rnacentral:snRNA from 1 species